rnacentral:misc_RNA from 1 species
GAUGAAGAACGCAGCGAAAUGCGAUAAGUAAUGUGAAUUGCAGAAUUCAGUGAAUCAUCGAGUCUUUGAACGCACAUUGCGCCCCCUGGUAUUCCGGGGGGCAUGCCUGUCCGAGCGUCAUUGCCGCCCUCAAGCACGGCUUGUGUGUUGGGCCCCCGCCCCCCGGCUUCGGGGGGCGGGCCCGAAAGGCAGCGGCGGCACCGCGUCCGGUCCUCGAGCGUAUGGGGCUUCGUCACCCGCUCUGUAGGCCCGGCCGGCGCCCGCCGGCGACCCCAAUCAAUCUUUCCAGGUUGACCUCGGAUCAGGUAGGGAUACCCGCUGGACUUAAGCAUAUCAAUAAGCGGAGGA